rnacentral:rRNA from 1 species
CAAAGCGGGCGCGAUUCGCCCUUUUCCGGUUGAUCCUGCCGGAGGUCACUGCUAUUGGGAUUCGACUAAGCCAUGCGAGUCGAGAGGGUUCGGCCCUCGGCUGACGGCUCAGUAACACGUGGAUAAUCUGCCCUUAGGUGGAGGAUACCCUCGGGAAACUGAGAAUAAUACUCCAUAGGUCUAGGAUGCUGGAAUGCAUCUAGGCUAAAAACUCCGGUGCCUAAGGAUGAGUCUGCGGACUAUCAGGUUGUAGUCAGGGUAAUGACCUGACUAGCCUACGACGGAUACGGGUUGUGAGAGCAAUAACCCGGAGAUGAUAUCUGAGACACGAUAUCAGGCCCUACGGGGCGCAGCAGGCGCGAAAACUUCACAAUGCGCGAAAGCGCGAUGAGGGAAUCCCAAGUGCUUGCACGUAAGUGUAAGCUGUUUUUAUGUUUAAAAUGCAUAGAGAGUAAGGGCUGGGUAAGACGGGUGCCAGCCGCCGCGGUAAUACCUGCAGCUCUAGUGGUGGCCGCUAUUAUUGGGCCUAAAACGUCCGUAGCCUGUUUAAUAAAUGCCUGGGUAAAUCGUGUAGCUCAACUAUACGAAUUCCGGGUAGACUGUUAAGCUUGAGAUCGGGAGAAGUUAGAGGUACUCCUGGGGUAGAGGUG